rnacentral:rRNA from 1 species
AUUGAACGCUGGCGGAAUGCUUUACACAUGCAAGUCGAACGGCAGCACGGACUUCGGUCUGGUGGCGAGUGGCGAACGGGUGAGUAAUACAUCGGAACGUGCCCAGUCGUGGGGGAUAACGUAGCGAAAGCUACGCUAAUACCGCAUACGAUCUAAGGAUGAAAGCGGGGGAUCGCAAGACCUCGCGCGAUUGGAGCGGCCGAUGGCAGAUCAGGUAGUUGGUAGGGGAAAGGCCUACCAAGCCGACGAUCUGUAGCUGGUCUGAGAGGCCGACCAGCCACACUGGGACUGAGACACGGCCAAGGCUCCUACGGGAGGCAGAAGUGGGGAAUUUUGGACACUGGAUGCAAGUCUGAUCCAGCCAUUCCGGGUGCAGGAUGAAGGCCCUCGGGUUGUAGACCGCUUUUGUCAGGGAAAAAAUGUCCUGGGCUAAUAACCUGGGGGGAUGACGGUACCUGAAGAAUAAGCACCGGAUAACUACGUGCCAGCAGCCGCCGUAA